GAAUGGAACUGCAUCAUAUCCAGUGCAUCCAGAUCCCACAGUAACAUGGAUGGGACUAUUGGAAAUCUACAAUGGGAGUGGAAAUCCCAGCACAAGAGUUUAUUUUAAUCCUGUGACAGCCAUCUGAAGAGAUUUCUUCUCAGCAGCCUUUUCCUCUGAGAUUGAACAGCAGCAAGCCCCAAGUGGCCAUCUCUCUGGCAUCCAUUGAUUGGAAAAGCAGCCUAAAAAGGACAGAAUUACAAGAAGGACAAAUUUUGUUUCAGUGCACAACAUUGUAAAAGGAGGUUGCAAAAUCAAGGUUUCUAAAGAAACAACUCUUACUUUCUCUCUGGUGUUUAGGGUUUGGACCUAUUUGCAGUUGUUAUUAACAAGAAAUUGAAGUU